GGGGGGGAGACAUGAAGUGGACAGACAAUAAUACACAUGUGGCUGGCAGCUUUUCCAUGGAAUGGGAGAAUAACAAUUCGUUAUGUCACCUGUUGGACACACUUGUGCCAUAUACAGAAUACAUUGUUGAUGUCAGUGUGCCCAGGCAUCAACCCCAGCACCCAACCAGCGGUGCUCCUCGUCGAUACUCGUACCAGACGCUGCUCCUGGACCUCCUGUUUUGAAGGAUCUACUAGUUAAUCACACAUCAUUGUUGGUCAGUUGGGAUCAUCCCAGGAUCGAGAAUGGCAUCAUUGGUCACUACCAAGUGUUCUGGGAGGACACAGCAGGACACCCUGACGACUCUCAGCUGGAUGGAACAGCAAAUUCCUAUACAAUACUUGGUUUAAGUCGAUGUGAGACCUACACUGUCACUGUAAGGGCAGAGACAUCUAUAGGAAAGUGGGGAAAUAAAUCUGAAGAAAAACAAGCUUCCAUCCCAAAUGAACGUAAGUCAUUGUUGUCAGGUUAAUGGUGCGGAUGCCAGGUAUAUUUUUAAAGGAACUGGAAAAUGUUCUCCUGGUGCCAUGUGAUUUGCUGCAUCCACGACAUUUUGACUUUCACUUCG